AUUGAACGCUAGCGGGAUGCCUUACACAUGCAAGUCGAACGGUGUGGCGAACGGGUGGGUAAUGUAUCGGUACGUGCCCAGUAGCGGGGGAUAACUACGCGAAAGCGUAGAUAAUACCCCAUACUCUUGCGGCGGCAGAUAUGGGUUUAGCUGGGUGGUGGGGUAACGGCACACCAAGGCGACGAUCCGGAGCUGGUUGGCGAGGACGAGCAGCCACACUGGAACUGAGACACGGCCCAGACUCCUACGGGAGGCAGCAGUGGGGAAUUUUGGACAAUGGGAGAAACCCUGAUCCAGCCAUCCCGCGUGUGUGAUGAAGGCCUUCGGGUUGUAAAGCACUUUUGGCAGGGAAGCGUUACCUGCAGAAUAAGCACCGGCUAACUACGUGCCAGCAGCCGCGGUAAUAC
rnacentral:rRNA from 1 species